AGAAAACACAGGGAUGGAAAGAUGAGGCCAAGAGGAGAUAAAGAAAGAAGAGAGCCCGUUUCCUGUGGCGGUGCUGUGUCAAACAACGAUGACCCUCUGCUUCCUGCAAGUCGCAUGUAGACAGGCCUGCCACGAGCCCUGGGGCCUCACCGUCAGCCGCCGAACAACCUCCAAGCCCCUGCUCUGUCUGUCUGUUUUCAAGUCGUUUGCCACCUUGCCCUUUCUGGAUCUCACUUUUUUUUCUCCCACUUCAUGUUUCCCUUAAUUUCUUGCCUCCCUUUAACUGUUUUUUUAUUUCUUUUUCUUCUCUCAUCUCUCUUGCACCUAUCUCUUCCCCUCCAUGCCUAAUUUAUCACUUGCGACCUCCUGUUUCUCCUUCGUGUUUCCCUGUAUCUACACCUCCUUUCCUUUUUGUAUCCCUUCUUCCCUCCUCCCUUUGUCCCGCCGUCCAGGUCAGAAGAUGGUCUGUCAGACGUUUCCUGUGCAAGCCGCAGUGCCAGACCACACCUCGUGAAGGGGAUUUCUGCAGCUAAAAUACGCUUGGAUCCUGGACACCAUCCCAGUCAUACGUGAGCACGUGUGUGUACAUUGGCACAGUCUUCCAUGUUCCACAGACCAGCGGGCCACUUUCAAUAGGCUUCUCACCUCCUUCCACUCAAGGUCAUGAACACGUGCGCCGGCAGCAAUAAACACACUUCACCGUGCAUCUCUGAAAAUUACCCUUCUGGUCUUCUUCCAGUCCAGGUCAGAGGCAGGAAGUGAGCCGAGAGAAAAUGAGGAAGCAGCAGCAGCGCUCUCUUG